AUUGAACGCUGGAGGAAUGCUUUACACAUGCAAGUCGAACGGCAGCACGGGGCAACCUGGUGGCGAGUGGCGAACGGGUGAGUAAUACAUCGGAACGUGCCCAGUCGUGGGGGAUAACGUAGCGAAAGUUACGCUAAUACCGCAUACGAUCUAUGGAUGAAAGCGGGGGAUCGCAAGACCUCGCGCGAUUGGAGCGGCCGAUGUCAGAUUAGGUAGUUGGUGGGGUAAAGGCCCACCAAGCCGACGAUCUGUAGCUGGUCUGAGAGGACGACCAUCGAAACUGGGGCGGGGACACGGCCAAGAGGCCUACGGGUGACAGCAGUGGGGAAUUUUGGACAAGGGGCGCAAGCCUUAUCCAUGCAUUGCGCGUGCAGGAGGAAGGCCUUCGGGUUGUAAACUGCUUUUGUACGGAACGAAAAGGCUCUGGUUAGUUCCUGGGGCUCAUGACGGUACCGUAAGAAUAAGCGCCGGCUAUCUACGUGCCAGCCGCCGCGGUAACAC
rnacentral:rRNA from 1 species